rnacentral:rRNA from 1 species
AAGCGCUUACAACCAGACUUGCGCGCGGCGGUUCCCCCUUCCUUUUGGUUGGGCUACUCCGUCGUGUCCAGGCCAACAUCGGUUCUGGGGGUCGGUUAAAGACCCUGGGAAUGUAUCUACCCUUCGGGCGUAGACUUAUAGCCCACCGUGUAAUACCCUGGGGGGGACUGAGGUUCGCGCAUCUGCAAGGAUGCUGGCGUAAUGGU